GUGGUUUUAAUAAUAUUUGUAGAAGUAUUAUCUCCUGACCCCCCUGUUGCUGCUGUGGUUAUUCCUCUGAUUUUUGUAGUUGCUGAAGUUGGAAUACUUGAUGUUAUGGUUCUUAAAGCUCCUUCCGAUGAAGUGAUCAUGACCAGGGGAGUAGUAUUUCCAGAAGCAGAAGCAGAGGUUGCUGAUGAUGUAGAGGUUGUUGAAACUUUGUCAGAUGAUGAAUCUGAUGUAAACUCUGAAGUAGUAUUUUCAGGUGUUAAAACAGUGUUCUCUGAUAAAGUGAAAGCUGUUUCCUCUGUGACUGUUUCUAGUGUAGAGGUGAGUGUAGUGGUUUUAAUAAUAUUUGUAGAAGUAUUAUCUCCUGACCCCCCUGUUGCUGCUGUGGUUAUUCCUCUGAUUUCUGUAGUUGUUCUAACCAUUGGAGUAAUAUUUCUAGGAAUAGAAGGAGCAUUAGUUGUUUCAAAUGAUGUAGUGGUUGUUGAAACUCCUACAAAAGAUGCAGCGUUUGGUGUCUGUUGUUUGGUGGGCGUAUGUUUUUUGGUUGGUGUAUGUUCUUUAGUUGGUGUAUGUUUUUUGUGUAGAGGUGAGAGUAGUGGUUUUAAUAAUAUUUGUAGAAGUAUUAUCUCCUGACCCCCCUGUUGCUGCUGUGGUUAUUCCUCUGAUUUCUGUAGUUGUUCUAACCAUUGGAGUAAUAUUUCCAGGAAUAGAAGGAGCAUUAGUUGUUUCAAAUGAUGUAGUGGUUGUUGAAACUCCUACAAAAGAUGCAGCGUUUGGUGUCUGUUGUUUGGUGGGCGUAUGUUUUUUGGUUGGUGUAUGUUCUUUAGUUGGUGUAUGUUUUUUGGUUGGUGUCUGUUGUUUGGUUGGUGUAUGUUCUUUAGUUGGUGUAUGUUUUUUGGUUGGUGUCUGUUGUUUGGUUGGUGUAUGUUUUUUGGUUGGUGUAUGUUCCUUGGUUGGUGUAUGUUUUUUGGUUGGUGUAUGUUCUUUGGUGGGUGUCUGUUGUUUGGUUGGUGUAUGUUCUUUGGUGGGUGUAUGUUUUUUGGUUGGCGUAUGUUCUUUGGUUGGUGUCUGUUGUUUGGUUGGUGUAUGUUCUUUAGUUGGUGUUUGUACUUUGGUUGGUGUAUGU
ensembl:lncRNA